UACGUAGGGUCCAAGCGUUAUCCGGAAUCACUGGGCGUAAAGCGUGCGUAGGCGGAUGUUUAAGUGCAAUGCGAAAUUCUGUGGCUCAACCGCAGAACUGUAUUGCAUACUGGAUAUCUGGAGGAAUGCAGAGGCAAGUGGAAUUACCGGUGUAGCGGUGAAAUGCGUAGAUAUCGAGAGGAACACCUGAGGUGAAGACGGGUUGCUGGGCCGACACUGACGCUGAGUGCGCGAAAGCCAGGGGAGCAAACGGG
rnacentral:rRNA from 1 species